GAUGAAGAAAUCAGAGAUAUCUUUGCUCCUGAAUAUUUUUUGUUUGUAAUUUCUCUCCAUAAGUGGCGUCUCUCUUCACAAGUCAUGUCCUCCCCCUUCAAAAGUGCGUUUAGUGACUAUUUAUAUGGGAUAGGGUUAGCAUGGGGUGAUAUAAUACAAGCCCACUUCAAAACAGGCCUUUUAGGUUAGCUCGUUCACUCUUUAGUGCACACGCGAGAGUGAACGAGCAAAGUUCUUCUCUUUUUCUUUUUCUUCUAGGUCUCUCGUGCACUUUCAAGCCUUUUUGCUAUAUUUCGCUAUUUUUUUUCUCCAAGCUCUUCCUCAAUAGCUCGUUCACUCUCUCGUGUGCACGCAAGAGUGAACGAGCAAAGUCUUUCUUUUGUUCACAUUUCGUCCAACUUGCUCCUACACAUAAGAAUGCACGUAAUGAGCAUAAUUCACUACAACAUCUCAUGUAACCUACCGUAAUCACACAAGUUAUGAGAUGAAAGUACAUCGAAAAAUAUGCAUUUUUGGCCGUUUAUCAUGUAUUAAUGGCUUCAAAUCGUUACACCUUUAGCUUUGAAAUAUACUCAUCUUAACAUUUUUUUUUUCACUCUUUUUUUAUCAGCACCUUUCUUCUCUUUUACUUUUUUAAUACAAAAUAUAUACACCAGCAAAGCAAUUGUUAACAAAUAACUUGUGAGAAGACAAGUUAGCAAGGUCAUUGAAUAAAUAAUUAACUUUUAGAAUAAAAAAGACUGCAUAAGGUUGUUGAAACAUAUCCCCUCUAGGAUGUUAAGGACAUACGAAUGAUCAAAUAGAAUAUGUAACUGUAAUUGGAUAGGUUUAAUAUUUUAUUUGGCACUUUGAAACUAAUUUGGAUUAUGUCUUGAAAAAUUAGAUAAGGUAGAGAAGUAGAGAAGACAGAGACACACAUGAAAAGGGAAAGAGAUGGUGCGUAACAAAAUUGCUAGAGAUGGAUGUUGCUAAUGCACUUUAGCUAGAUUGGCAUCUAGAUAUAUAUGUUUGAGCAUUUGAAAAUACCAGAUCUAUCUAACAGAUUUCUAAUCAGUUUGUACUCUGACGUUUGAAAAUCUCAUAAAUUGCAUGAUAACAACGAAAAAAUUUGAAUAUAAAUGUUAGAGAAUUUAAUGGCAUGACAUUGUUAAUGAUGUAGGGAAUAAGUUUCACUGGUUUAUUAUGACGCUACUACAAUAAUAAUUAAUCUAGCUAACAGGUUCAAUGUUCUUGAACUGUUUCUAAACAAAAGUACAAAAAGGAGUGAUGUGUUUAGAAUUUAGAAACUCUGUGUUAUACAAAAACAUGAAUUUAACUGCAAUAUAGUGUCAAACAUAGCUUGUCCUAUAUUCUAAACAAAUGUUGUUUGGCUUAAUGUAGAUGUUCAAUUGCUUACAAUCACAUCCGCAGAUGCCAACAUGCUUUAGGGAUUGAACUUUUUUUUUGGCUUUCAAUUAAGCUCAUUUUUUAUUUACUUUUACAACAUGACUUUAGUGAACAAGAAUUUUUUCGUAAUUUAGGUGGGCAAUUAAUCAUUUGAUGAGGUAGCUGCUCUCUACCAAGCAGAGUAUGUUUGUAGGCUUCUCCUAUGUUUGUACUUUAGAUUGAAUGUCAAUUUAACUGUAAAACAGCCAGCUUUGAUCUUUCGUCGCAAAAGUUCAUUGGCUAAUAUACAUGUUCAGUAGCUUAUGGUGGCAUCUACAGGUACGAACAUACUUCAUAUACAACAUAAAUACAACAUAUGAGAUUCACUAUUGGUAUAUAAAUAUUGCCCAUUUUACUAUUUGGAAAAGAUAAAUAAAAAUCAUUAUUUUAUAAAAAGAUUAAAAUAAUUGCUUAGUUUACUCUAAUGCGAGUUUUAGUGAUCUAUUAUUUUCCUUCACUUUUCCAUUGAUUUGUGGGUUUGGUGGGAUUUGGGUCUGCUAGUUUGAUUUGUGCAUCAUUUCAGGAUUCUCUAUUGACGUUUUCUGUUUGGGACAUGUCUAAACAGUUAGGUUCUCCAAAAAUUAGUGCAUUUAUAGGCAUCAGAAAUAGGUCACCGAUGCUAUGCAGAAACAGCCGAUUUAGGAUGCAGUUGAAGGAGACUGGAGAAAGGAACUUUUUUAUUUUCUCUUUUUAAUUUCCUAUUGUUCAAUCUGAUCUUAAUAGUGUGUGAGUGUGAAGAUAGUUGAUUAUGCUGAAAGAUAAGUUUUUUCAUGUGGGUUAAGCGGAUUGUCUCUUUAGUUGCCCUCUUUAUGUUAUCUUUGCAGUUCUAUAAUAUGUAUUCUUUGGAUAACUUUUUUUUUUAGAUUCGCAAAGAUGCUCUUUGAGUAACUUAUUGCCACUUUGAUGUUUCCUUUAUAUUACGUGGUUGUUGAGAAUAUGUGCUCAUCCAGUAGGUACAAUAGUUUUGUUAUUCAUAUGGGUUCUCUCAAUAAUGAUUGUAGCUUAAAUGUAAAAUCAGAUCUUAAGACAGUAAAAAUGUUCAACACGUUUAAAUGUGUGAAACUUCUUCGUUAAGAUUAUUGGACUUUAUUGUUUAUUAACAUCGUGCUAUUCUUAUAUGGUAUUUUUUUUUUACUAUAUAUGUUAUAUUAUCAAAAGGUUGUAGGAAAAGUAACUCAAUGCAAUCAAACUCAUCUCUUAUCAUAUGGCCUUUAUCUAUCGAUUUUGGCUGGCCUAGAAGGAGGGUCGACCUAAUUGUUCUUUUGAACAAAAUUUUAAGAUAGUAUAAAUAUUUUGUACUGUAGACAGCUUGAUGUAACUACUAUGUGUCAUGUAUAUUUUUGUAUAUCUAGAAGAUCAAAUAGUCUUGUACAUUCUUCUAAACUGAUUAUGAACUAAAUUUAGGGUUACAACAGUGAUACUUUUCACUAGACUUCUUGCUAUUAUUGUUGUCGUCUCAUUAUUUAUUUCUAAGUGUUUUGUUCAAUAGACAAAGUAACUCCCGCUAUUCCAUGGAGAUGUGCGUAGUAGCUAUUUUUUUUAUCUCAAGUGUGAAUUGUGCAUAGGUCACAUAGCAUUGAGAUUAUGAAAGUCAAAGGCUCUAAAUCAGCAAGUGACUUCUAAUAAUCAAAAUAUCAUUUGAUCAACUGUCUCAUGCUUAAUUUUUGAAUGUAUUAUAAUUUCUUCAUUACUUGUCUACAGCAGGAAAAUUCUUCUAUUAUUUCACUGGACAAAUUCUUUGAUAAAAACAAGGUCUUGCUUUGGACCAUAUAACGAUCAACGACUUCACUCAAUUAUUUUAACUUCCCCAAUUGAUACUAUUAUUUAGGGAAACUGGUAACCAAAGUAACUUCAACGGAGGUAGAUUUGUCCUCUAUUUCGUCUUUACAAGGAUAGGAGCCGCCAUCAAAUACUCCCACAAAAAAGGCAAGCUUAAUUUAAGAGUAACACAACUCUUCACUGAACAUUUUGGUUAGAAUCAAAAGGUAACACGUGUAAUGGAACUUUAUAAGCUUUCUUUGCGUUGAACCAGCGCGAAGCUCGGCUACUCAUACUAGUAAGUUAAGAAGGGGGAGAAUUACAAGUUGUCACACCUCCUUUUUUUCGAGGGAAUAGGGGAUUUUUCAAUCAAAGUGAUAUUAUUUGAAAUGAGAUUAUAUCUAAUUCAGAGUCGCCACUUGGAAUAAUUUAUGGUAUCACAAUUCACCGAUUAAUUUUUAAUCCCAAAUCGAGGAAAUUGACUCUGUUUUAAAGUCUGCGAAACCAGAAGACCGAGUAAGGAAUUCUGCUAACUCGAGAGAAGGUGUAAGGUACUCCCGAGUUUCGUGAUUUUAGCACGGUCGUUCAACUAUCAAUAAUUGGUCUGAUUAUCUGAUUUAAUACAUAUUUAAACUUAUUUUGCAUUUUUGACUUGCUAAUCACUUUUAACUAAUUAUGGAAAUGCUUUGAGUAUUUAUGAAAUUUAUUUAAAUAAGUCGCGAUGUCGCGCACUUAUUGUUUUUGAUCACAUUGCGAAUCGCGUCACGUGAAAUGCACCAGCGAUUUAUAACAUGUUUAUUUUAUAAUUAUUUGAAGUUGUAAAUCAAGUCACACGUACACCUGAAUUUGGGAUUACGUAUCAUGACUAAUCCACGAGAACCAGAACCCAUAGUCACGAUAAUUUAUUUAAUUAACGCGCUUAAAGCAAGCUACGAUGUUGAUGUGCUGUUCAUUUUCCUAAACUACUUUGAGAUUAAUGUGAUACCAAAUUUAUGGACAAAAUAUUACUGGAGAGUAAAUAAGCUAGCUAACAUGAUCUAUUAUGGCCCAUUCUUAUUAUGAAAGAAACAACUCCAAUUUUUCCAUCUAUCCAAUUAAAUAGCUCACUUAAAUCACCAAUUCAACAUGCUAAAACAAAGGCAACAUAACAUAACCAUAUAGGUAAGAAAACUAAAUCAAAAUCCAUAGCGUAUUUAACAGAAAUCGUCCAACCAAACUUACAUGAUUCUGGUGAACAGGCACGACGGGGGCCCAAACGGUUUUUUUUUGUUUUGUUUUUCUUUGGUGGAGUCUGUAUUUAUUCCUUAUGUCCCUCCCCGCUGUUUCUAUCAGCAGUGGCUUCCCUUGGAGAAUUGUGCUCUAAUUCAGUGGAGUCAACACAUUUCCUUGUUGUCUUUUCAUUAAUCAAAGACACUUUCGACAGAUUCUUUUUCGUUUUUCUUGUGUCCGUUUCUUAUCUGUUUCUUGGGUGUGUGUGUUUGUGGCUGAUUUCUCUUGUGAAGAAGGGGUGGGGUGCUGAAGCUUAGAGGAAUUAUAGGGUAGUGGCCGAUUUUUGAGUUCUGCUGAAGGGUCCAAAGGGAUCCUCUCUUGGAGGGGGUGUCUGCUCUAGAGUCUUAAAGAUUAGGUUUUAGUUUGUGUUAUAUUGAGAUUUAUAUUUGGGGUGUUGGAAUAAAUUGGGGCCCUUGGAUGAAAGCAGAUCAAUGACAAUGAUUAAGGGAGGGGUUUGAUAGGUGAGAAAAAGGUUUGGGCAAAAAGGAAUUGGGAAGAAUCAGUCUUUGUCUUGCUGGGCCACUAAAAUCCGAAAAUUAGCUUCCAAUUGACCCAAAUUCAAUUCUUCCUCAUUGAACAAAAAUAAAAAUAAAAAUAAAAAUACUACCAAAAUAUACUAAUUAAUCUUAGUUAAUGAGAAUAAACUAUUAAAGUGAACUAUAUAUUAAAAUAAAAAUAUUUUUGUUAUUUUUUGAAUGUUAUAAAAAAGUAGAGAAAACCAUGUUAAUGUAAUGGUAAAAAAAUUAAAAUGUUAUCAUUAUAAAAUACUAAUAAGCUUAAAUAAAUAAAAAAGAUAAAUAAAAAAGAUAUAUAAUAAGAGAAGAAAUAUUAUAAAACUAUUUUUGUGUUUUUAAUAAACUUUUGUUUUAAAAUUAAAAGUUGACUUAAGUCCUAUUAAAAUGAAAAUAAAUAAAUAUUUUUAAAAUACUACUUUUAAAAGUUGCCCGGAUAAAAAAAUUACUUUCUUACAGCUGCCACUCUUUGCUUGGAAACACGAAGAGUUUUCGAAGCAAAGAACAAUAAGCAACAUAAUUGAUUUAUGACCCGACGCUUAUUCCAAACAAAACAAGGAUGGACAAAAGAUUGUAACUGAGCUCUGUUAUCUGAGCUGCCUACAUAUCCUUGGCUAUAAAGGAAUCAGGCCAUGUGUAGUUCAGAGAGAUCAAUGGUAUGAUGAGUUCGAGAGUCAAGUGAGGUACCGUUCGAGGCUCUGGUCCGCGGUCCUGUUAUCACAUCAAAAUCAAAAUCUAAAAGAACUACACAAGCCUAUCAGCUAUGAAUUACAAGACUCCUAUCUAUAAAUCUUCUAAAACUUGAUCUUGAGUCUUGAAUGUUUCUUCAUGCAGACUUUGAUCUGAAUCUUGAUGCUUGUUAGCUGCAGGUGCUAGUUCAUUCCUCUAUGGUUUCUUCGAAUCAAGAUCGGACAUGCAAAACUCGUGACUUUAGUCAUGUCUUGAGCAAUCCACAUUUCAUCCGCUUCUGCAUUUUGGAUUCACUUCUUUUCCUUUUCUUUAUUUGGAUUGAGACUUCUUUUUGGUCAUCUGAAUCCUGUGCAACGAGGUAAAAACCUGCUCCGAUACCAAAACAAAUGAACGAACUAAAUUUUCUGUCCCAGUUUUCACUAGACAAAUUUCGUGAGUUAUUGAAAAAAUUGUAAAUCACCGAUGCUAUUGAUGAAGGAUGUGAUGAUGAGAGUAAAACUAAAGACUCGACUAGGAUAUGCGUCUCCUGUGAGAUUGAGCUUAAGGAAAAUGAUAAGCUGAGCUUUACUAAACUAAACAUUGACCCUAUUUUCCAAGCGAGACCCAUAAACUAAAGAAACAAUAUAGAUUAACAACUUAAGAAAACUAAAAACUGACCCUAUUUUCCAGGCGGGACUCCUGAACUCGAGGACAACUAAAGAUUAACAACUUAAGAAAACUAAAAUUGACCCUAUUCUCUAGGAGGGACUCCUUAACUUAAAGAAAGCUAAAGAUUAAUAACCUAAGGAAAUUAAUGUUACGACCCGGAUUUCCCACCUCGGGAGUCAUGAUGGCGCCUACUCGUGAAAGCUAGGCAAGCCGCGUAAUAUAGAAUCACUAACUCUUUUAUUUAGCCCUUUUAACAAUUUAAAUUAAUAUGCGAUCAACAGUGAAAUAUUAACGAUAAAUAAAUACAUGCGGAAGACUUAAUCUGAUAACUUAGCCAAACCAGUAUGACAAUACCAACAUACAUCUCUACCCGGAAUCCGGUGUCACAAUAUCAUGAACCAACUACGAAUACUACAUACAACUAUCUGGAAAGAAAGGUACAAUCUGUCUCUGAAGUAAUGAAAAUAGAAUACAUAAAAAGAUAGAAGAGAACGUCGGUCAUGCGGAAGCCUGCAGGACUACCUCGGGAUCUCUAACUAGACUGAAGGUAGCCACCCAAAGUACGGUCCAAAAGCUAUCGCUCCGGGAUCUGCACAUAGUGCAAAGUGUAGUAUCAGCACAACCGACUCCAUGUACUGGUAUGUGCCUGGCCUAACCCCGGAGAAGUAGUGACGAGGCUAAUACCAUACUACCAAAUGAACCUGUGCAGUUAUAUAAUAUGCAGCGGAAAAUAAAACAAGAAUAAACAAGUAAAAAUGGGAGGGGGUACAUGCUGCGAGGGAAUAUCAAUACCAAUAGUAAAUUAAGAGAAAAGCAUAAAGACAAUCUAGAAUUUACAGCAAAACAAUAAGGAACUCGUAACCAAUCCAUAAACACUUUGUAUUAUCAAUUGUUGCGGCACACAACCCGAUCCCAAAAUAUAAUAACACUGUUGCGGCGUGCAACCCGAUCCAUAUUAUUUAUCACUGUUGCAGCGUGCAACUCGAUCAAAUUAUAUUAUUGUUGCGGCGUGCAACCCGAUCCAAUUAUAUCAUUAUUGCGGCAUGCCAUCUGAUCCAAGCAUAAUAUUGUUGCGAUGUGCAACCCGAUUCAAUAAUAAUAUUAUUGCAGCACGCAACCCGAUUCACAUAUACAGUUCAACACCAAUCACAACAAGAGUCCCGACAAGGGAUCAAUAAAGAAACAAUACUAACCCGGCAAGGCAAUCGACAAUACAAGUAAAUACGUCCCGGCAAGGAAAAAUCGGCUAUAACCAAACUUGUUCCAAUAUCUAACUACCUCAACUAGCACCAAUACUCAAUCAUAAGUAAUUUCCAUGAGAAUAAUCAUAAUCCUUGCUCAACACAGAGAAUCAAGAACUUAGGCAUUCGUAGCAUUUAUUAAGAACACAACAAUUCCAAUUUAAGACUCACGAUCAUGCUUGACACUAACGUAUAGGUACUCGUCACCAUGCCUAUACGUCGUACUCAACAAGUAACAUUUAGCAAAUAGGACACAACUCCUAAUCCCUCAAGCUAAGAUUAGACCAAACACUUACCUCGAACUUCCAGGGCCAACUCAGCUCAAUUAUAGGUUUUCUAUCAGUUUCCCCAAAAUGUCAAAAAUCGACCCCAGGUCCGCUGGGUCAAAACACGAGGUUCAGACCAAACCCCUAUCACCCAUUCACCCACGAGCCUAAAUAUGCAAUUAGUUCCGAAAUCCGACCCCAAAAUGAGGUCUAAAUUUCAAUUAUACAAAAGCCCUAACUCUACCCAAAUCCCUAAUUUUCUAACCUUAAGAACAUGAUUUAGGCCUAGAAAUCUAAUGGGUGUUGAUGGAAAUUGAAGAAAACGAGUCUAAGAUUACAUACCUAUGAAUUUGUGGUGAAGUUCUCUUUCAAAAAUCGCCCAAUUUGGAGUUUGGAAGAAGAAGUUAUGAAAUUUUGAUUUGAUCCCGAGUGUCUUGUUUACUGUUUAAAAAUUGCUGGGCAGGCCUUCAUCGCGUUUGCGAUAGGCCUGUCGCGUUCGCGAUGGGUCAGGCUCAAUUAACCAUCAUUCGCGAUACAAGGCUCGCGUUCGCGGAGCUUCAGCCCCUGGAGCCUUCGCGUUCACGGUCGUGUGGAGGCGUUCGCGCAGAGUAAAAUUCCCCUCCUGCUGCCCAAAAGCCUUUGCGUUCGCGAUAGCAGGACCACAUUUACGAAGGGAAACACCCCCAAAGCUUCGCGUUCGCAUCCUGUGUCUUGCGUUUGUGUAGAAGGAAGUUUCCUUCAACCUGACUUACCCUUCGCGUUCGCGAGAGUCCUUCCGCGAACACGAAGAACAACACACCAGAACACCAGAAACAGAAAACCUGCAAUUUUUCCCAAGUUUAAAACCUCCGAAACCUAUCCAAAACUCACCCUAGCCCUUGAGGAUCCAAACCAAACAUGCAUACUUACUCAAAAACGUCAUAUGAACUUAUUCGUGCGAUCAAAUCGCCAAAAUAAUCUAUUAAACAACGAAUUUAGCAUAGAAAUCUAAGAAAAAUCUCAAAACAUCAAAAGUAUCCAUUUUCACAACUAUGGGUCCGAAUCACCUCAAACGACUUUCGUUUCUUAUCAAAUUUCACAGACUCAUCUUAACUCAUAUAUAAGACCUGUACUGGGCUCCGGAACCAAAACACGGGCCCGAUACCAUCAAAUUUCAAAUGCAUUUCAUUUCCAAAACUCAUAAAUAAUUCCAGAAAAUAGUUUUUCUUUAAAAAUCCAUUUCUCGGGCUUGGGACCUCGGAAUUCGAUUCUGGGCAUACGCCUAAGUCCCAUAUUUUUCCAGGACCCUCUGGGACCAUCAAAUCAAGGGUCCGGGUCCAUUUACCCAAAAUGUUGACCAAAGUCAACUUAAAUCUAUUUUAAAGUCAAAAAUUCAUCAUUUUUCACAGAUUUUCACAUAAUGACUUUCCGGCUACGCUCCUUGACUGCGCACGCAAAUCGAGGUGAUACUGAAAGAGGUUUUUAAGGCCUCGGAAUGCAGGAUUUAUUUCUAAAACAAGUUAUGAACUUUUGGGUCAUCACAUUCUCCACCUCUAAUAUAACCGUUCAUCCUCAAAUGAACAUAAGAAGGAAGUACCUGAGUCGGGGAAAAGAUGGGGAUAACGGCUCCACAUAUCGGACUCAGACUCCUAGGUCGAUGCCUCAGCAGGCUGACCUCUCCACUGAACACGAACAGAAGGGAAAUUUUUCGAUCUCAACUGACGAACCUGCUGGUCUAAAAUAGCUACCGGCUCCUUCUCAUAAGACAAGUCCUUGUCCAACGGGACAGUGCUGAAAUAUAACACGUGGGAUGGAUCGCCGUGAUAUUUCCGAAGCAUGGACACAUGAAAUACUGGAUGCACGACUGAUAAGCUCAGCGGCAACGCAAGUCAGUAAGCCAUCUCUCCCACUCGAUCAAGAAUCUCAAACGGGCCAAUGAACUUAGGGCUAAGCUUGACCUUCUUCCCAAAUCUCAUCACACCCUUCAUAGGCGACUCUCGAAGCAAUACUCGCUCACCUACCAUGAAACCCAAAUCACGAACCUUACGAUUGGCAUAACUCUUUUUCCUACACUGAGCUGUACGAAGCAUAUCCUAAAUAAUCCUGACCUUGUCCAAGUCAUCCUGCACUAGAUCUGUACCCAACAAUAGAGCCUACCCCGGCUCGAACCGUCCAACUGACGACCGACACUGCCUACCAUACAAAGCCUCAUAAGGAGCCAUCUGGAUACUUGACUGGUAGCUGUUGUUUCAGGAAAACUUUUUAAAGGCAAAAAUUGAUCCCACGAGCCUCCAAAGUCAAUGACACAAUCUCGGAGCAUAUCCUCCAAAAUAUGAAUAAUCCGCUCGAACUGCCCGUCCGUCUGAGGAUGAAAUGCUAUGCUCAACUCAACCUGUAUGCCCAACUCUCGCUGAACUGCUCUCCAGAAAUGUGAGGUAAACUGUAUACCUUGGUCCAAAAUGAAGGACACGGGCACACCAUAAAGACAAACAAUCUCCCGGAUAUAGAUCUCAGCUAACCUCUCUGAAGAAUAGGAGAUUGCCACAUAAAUGAAAUGUGUUGACUUGGUAAGCCUAUCAAUAAUAACCCACACUGCGUUGAACUUCCUCCGAGUCUGUGGAAGCCCAGCAAUGAAAUCCAUAGUGAUUCGCUCCCACUUCUACUCGGAAAGCUCAAUCCUCUAAAACAAACCACCAGGCCUCUGAUGCUCGUACUUAACCUGCUGACAGUUCAAACAGCGAGCCACAUUUGCAACAAUGUCCUUCUUCAUUCUCCUCCAUCAAUAAUGCUACCGCAAAUCCUGAUACAUCUUUGCGGUGCCUAGAUGAAUAGAGUAGAAUUAGCUAUGGGCCUCCUCUAAAAUCAACUCUCGGAGUCCAUCCACAUUAGGUACACAAACUUGACCCUGCAAUCUCAAAACUCCAUCAUCACCUAAGGUAACCUGCUUGGCACCUCCAUGCUGCAUCGUGUCUCUAAGGACACACAAAUGGGGAUCAUCAUACUGCCGAUCACAGAUACGCUUCAAUAAAGAAAAAUGAGCGACCGUGCAAGCUAACAUACGGCUGGGCUCAGAAACAUCCAAUCUCACGAAAUGAUUGGCCAAAGCUUGAACAUCCAAAGCAAGCGGUCUCUCACUGACCGGAAUGUAAGCAAGACUGCCCAUACUGGCUGACUUCCUACUCAAAGUAUCGGCCACCACAUUGGCCUUUUCCGGAUGAUAUAAGAUGGUGAUAUCAUAGUCUUUCAGUAGCUCCAACCACCUUCUCUGCCUCAAAUUUAGCUCCUUCUGGUUGAACUAGUACUGUAAACUCUUGUGAUCCAUGAACACCUCACAUGCCACACCAUACAGAUAAUGCCUCCAAAUCUUCAACGCGUGAACAAUGGCCGCCAACUCCAAAUCAUGAACCGGAUAGUUCUUCUCAUGAAUCCUCAACUGUCGCGAAGCAUAGGCAAUGACCUUGCCAUCCUGUAUCAACACAGCACCAAGUCCAAUACGAGAUGCAUCACAAUAAACUGUAUAAGACCCUGAACCUGUGGGCAAAACCAACACCGGUGUCGUAGUCAAAGCUGUCUUGAGCUUCUGAAAGCUCGCCUCACACUCGUCUGACCAUCUGAAUUGGGCACCCAUCUGGGUCAAUCGGGUCAUCGGGUCUGCAUUAGACAAAAACCUCUCCAUAAACUAAUGAUAGUAGCCUGACAAUCCCAAGAAACUCCGAAUCUCUGUAGCUGAUGCUGGUCUAAGCCAAUUCUAGACUGCCUCAAUCUUCUUCGGAUCAACCUGAAUACCCUCUACGGAUACAACAUGACCCAGGAAUGCAACUGAACUCAACCAAAACUCACACUUCGAAAACUUGGCAUACAACUGACUAUCCAUCAAGGUAUGAAGAACCACUCUAAGAUGUUGCUCGUGCUCCUCCCGGCUGCAAGAAUAGAUCAAAAUAUCAUCAAUGAGGACUAUCAUGAACGAAUUCAAGUAGGGCCUAAACACUCAGUUCAUCAAAUCCAUAAAAGCUACUGGGGCAUUUGUCAACCCGAACGACAUCACUAAGAACUCA
rnacentral:lncRNA from 1 species